UCAAUUAAGAAAUUUAGUAUAAAAUUAUCCCCGUACUCUUUCUCCGAAUGAGAAAAAUACUUGAGAGUACCUGUCUCGUCGGAAUUUAUGUCAUUCCUACGUAUCUCUUUCAACGUCUGAUUUCCCUUGUUAGUUGUUGUUGUUACUGCAUCAAUCUCUUGUUCACUCAUCAUUAGUCGCGCAAGCUACUUUAUCGAAUCCUCUAGAUCUAGAUCCAUCAUUUUAAGCUUUGACCUGUAGUUAUCGAUCAUUAACUCAAUCCCGUUAUUCACGACGGCGACUUCAGGUCAAAAAGCUAAGGUCACUGCCACUGGAGCUCACUGCCGUCACCACCGCUCCAGCCGCCACCAGCCUUUAGUCACCAAACCACCGACCCAACACCUGAGAGCCAUAAACAAAAAUACCCUCUCCGGCUGGUGUGUUUUUUAUUUGGCUUUUUUCUUUUGUUUUUAUUUUUUUUUCAGUCUUGCUUAUUUAAUGUUUCAAUUUUUUAGUUUUUAUUUUUUAUUUUUUUAUGGUGGUUGGUUUUAUUAUUGACUGUUGGGUGUUGUCUAUCUGCUCCUCUUGAUAUCUUGUAUAGUCGUUGAUGAUGUCAACUUAGAGUUCGGUUCAAAAUUGUGUCAAUGUUCAAAUCGGAAGGAUAUGCCUGUAUUGGAGUUGAUAAAGAGCUCUAAUAGUUGUGCAUUUAUAUUCUGAUGACUUGGUGCAAGUUACUGAUGGCUUGGGUUGAGGGCUCAUUGAGAGAUAUAGUUUGAUUAUGUUGUUGAGUUUUUGUGAUUUUUGGUGUGCUUGUAGUUAGUAGUUAGUAUUAUGUUAUGGCACUCUAUGUUAAUUUUGUAGUAUUAUUUUCCUUCUCUGAUUAGAAAAGGAUCUCCAUUAGUUGAGGUUGGCAACAGUUCGUAAAAUUUCUUUUCAUUGUAAGUAGGUUUAAUAGAUGAAAUUCUUUUUUUCUUUAGGUUUGUAAUUAUAUUUGCUUUUAGGAAUUGUUCGAUCUUAGGCUUAAAUUAUAGGUCUUAUCCUAUUUAUUAUAUUUAAGCUUAGUGAUCGUGUGUUUAUGUCUCUAUGACAUUUUAUAGUUGGACUAGUUUUCAUCGUUAAUGAAAGACAUAUUUUCUUUUUAAACAAAAAAAUACAAUAAUUUAUUUUAGUUCUCAUUUCUCACCUAAUUCAAGUUCAUUCUCAUUUUGUCCUAUUCCAAUUAUUAAUUGAUAAAUAUAUCAUGAGUAACUAAUGUUGAGUAAAUCCUCUCAUUUUCAUUCAUUUUUUUUAAUUUUUUUUUAAAAUGAGGUGUUAUUUAGGGAAAAAGGUUUAAAAAAAAGUGAGAUGUUGGAAGAUGUCAAAGUAAUUAAUGGUGCUAGACGAUGAAGUCAAUUAAUGAGCUGUGCCUUUAUUGAUGAAUGGGGCCGUUGAUUGAAGUAGGAGUUUAGGUCAACGCUGAAGGCCGGUAGGUUUCAACCUGACGUAUCACCAUGCCAAACACUUCAGAUUAACAUUUAGGGACAACAUUUUGAUUCUUGCCAUUUUCACAUUGGCGCUACACUGAAUAAUGUUGUAGGCUUCUUAUUUGUUGCUUCUAUUGAUAGCAUAUAAUCUCUCUAGUCGCGUCACACAUUGUGCUUAUAAGCAUUUUGACACUUUUUUUUUUCUUUUUAACAUAAAUUGAUUUUUUUUUCUUAACACUUAUGGUACACUCCACCGAUCAUGCAGGGAGAAAUAUAUUCAUUAUUUAGGGAUCAAGGUAUU
rnacentral:lncRNA from 1 species